UUAAAUAUUUAUACAUAUUUAAUGAAUUUUCUAACAUAAAUAUAUGUCUAAUAAAAAAAUUACUAGUUCUGUGGGAAUUACUAGCUCCGCUCCUACAACACAUAGAUGUAAUUCCAUAUGUUCAAAUGACCAUGCUGCUAAUGAUGCUGCCACUACUGUUACUGUUGCCGCUCUUGAUGUUGCUGCUGCUGCAGCUGAUCCAUGGAAUUCAAGCAAGUGCAACAACUAAAUAAUUCUUUAAAAUGAUGAGUUCGAUACAGAAAGGCCAGGAUGGAGAUCUCCUUCUCUAUUGGACAUCAAACCUAAAUGUGCUUUAGAGCAAGAAAAGCAUAAAAAAUGAGUCGUAAUUGACAAAACCAUUCAGAUAUACAUAUAUUAAAAUCGAAACAUAAGAUUUAAACAGAUUAUAGAUCAGUACUCUACGUCCACGAAUAUUUAAAGCUAAAUACUUGAUGUUUACACAAUAAAAUCUCCAACGUAAAGAUUCUGUACACAAAUUUGAACAUUCAAAGCUAACUGUUUGAAGUUUAGACAUAGCAUGAUACUCUUUCCAAAACUACAGUAUAUAAAGAUGGCUUAAAAUUACCAAAAUUGAACACUGAAUUGAUAAAAUCAUAAGUUGAACCACUCUUGGCAAACUAAAAAAAGGGGAUUCUAUCCCCUUUAUUAAAUGUUGAAACGACGACUUACUCUAGGAGAAGAAAAAAAUGCUUUAUGGAUCUGAAAGAUUAAGAAGACUGAAUUUUAAAAGAUCUUUUAUGGCAUCAAUUUUUACUUGUUCAUGCGUUACAAUAUUUAUUAACAAACUUAAUCGAUUGUAGAUACCAUGAUAUCCGGAAGGGAGAUCGUUCAAGCAGCAAUGCUCCAUAACCUAAGCAUAUUGACACUUAUAAGUGUAAGAACCAAUUAAACAAUAAAAGAAUACAAUAUUAAUCAAAUACAAAUGCUAUUAAUGAAGAAAAGAACUAACAAUUUGGUGACUCAUUGAUUCAAUUUGGACGAAACCUUUCACAGGAUUCAAAAUGGAAUUGGCUUCACCGUCUUCAUCAUCGUUGAAAUCCUCAUCCUCGUCAUUAUCUUGAGCUGUUUUCAUGUAUAGCCGCACAGGUUGAGAAGUGAUGGAUGAGAGAAUG
rnacentral:lncRNA from 1 species